CGGAACACGUACAGAACCUUCCUUCGAGUGGGGAAUAGCCCGAAGAAAUUCGGAUUAAUACCCCAUAGUAUUAUAGAGUGGCAUCACUUUAUAAUUAAAGAUUUAUUGCUUGAAGAUGGCUGUGCGCCUGAUUAGGUAGUUGGCGGGGUAACGGCCCACCAAGCCUGCGAUCAGUAACUGGUGUGAGAGCACGACCAGUCACACGGGCACUGAGACACGGGCCCG
rnacentral:rRNA from 1 species